GUAAUUAAAGUGAUAACAUGUUUAUUUUCUGUUGUUGAUUUUUAUGUUCGCGAUUUCGUAAAACUGAUGUAGAUUCAAAAAUGAACAAGAAUAUGGUUGAUGUGUACAUGUUUUGUUAAAAGAUGCAACUACAGAGAUGUGGACAUCUUCAUGAUUUUGGACUGCUGACAACUUGAUCAUUUCAUGAGUAUAGCUCUAUAUUGUUUUAAAUACCAUACAGAGGAUUUUUUUUGUAUGAAAAUCAAUAAUGGAAAAACACAAAAAUAACAAGGAAAAGCAAAGUAUGCAGUCAAAAUAUUUUGAUGCUUAAUACAUGUAACAAUUUGGCACAAAUUUGCUAAAUUUUUAUCUCAAGCAACACUUAGUUUUCAUAUUUAUGUUGCUCAAGACCUGUCUUUUUGUUUCCCUCCUCUGUGGUAUUUAAAAUUUUACUGAGAGUUGUGAAACUUAUUUUUAUGCAAUUUUUUUUAUUAAUUUUCAAAAUUUAAUGAACAGUUAGGCAGCAACCAUUUGAUUUUCUGGGGGGGCUAUGGAUUUUUUUUCUGGACAAACUUUGUUUUUCAUUUUUUUGGCGACAAGUCGACAACAAUUUUUUUCUUUCAAUUAUAGCAUUACAUAUAGUGGCAGCUAAGGGCGAAACAAACAAUUUUUUUUUCUCGGGUCAACAACAAAUUAUUUUUUUCUCCAAAACUGGAAACAAACUUUUUUUUCCAAAAAAAUCCAUAGCCCCCCCCCAGAAAAUCAAAUGGUUGCUGCCUUAGUUUACUUUUAAUUUGUUUUGUGCAAUUAAAGAUUGAAAAAUGCAAUUUGGAGAUAAAUAUUUUUCUAUAAUUUCUGGCUUCACAACCCUCAGCAAUGAUUAAAAUAUAUUAUUUGAUAAGUUUUUCUUUAGGACUGAUCAAAUAUUGAGCAUAUUCAGAUUUUGUACAAAGAAUUCCUUAAAAAAAAAUGAAAUAUACACCUAUAUAAAAUUGUUGAGAGAUAUAUAUGAGAUAACUGUCAUGAUCGUAAAACAAAUUAGGUUGAAGAUAAAGGGAGAAUUAAAACUCAAUAAGUCGAAGAGGGACGGACAAAAUAAUGUCAAAAUCACCAACCACUAGCCGAAGAGAGACUUGACAAAUUAUAUGCAAAGUCACUGACCACUAGCCAAAGAGAGACUUGACAAAUUAUAUGCAAAAUCACUGACCACAAGUCGAAGAUGAUCAGACAAAAUAAUGGCAAAUUCACAGAAAUAUUAAAUCAAUACAUAACAAACUUAAAUCUAUGCAAAACAAACCUCUUUAAAACACAGUUAAAUGUAAUAUACAUGUACAUACAAGCAAAACACUUCUGUUUUACAGUGUUAAAUGCAUCUAAUUUUUGCUGUGUUUAUAAUCGUUUGUAGUAAUUAUAUAUAUAUAUAUAAUGAAUAUUUAUUUCAAAAUGCAAAUACUACUGGCUGGAGAUGUUUCAAGCUGUUGUAGAAAGUUUGGAGAUUACUGACAAACUACAAUAUUUAAGAAUUGAAGGCUUCUUUUUGUAACUUCAUUGGGGUGUUAAAGCUUUGACCGAAGUACAUUCUGUUUCCGCGCUAAUCAUAAAAAUUCUAAAAAUGUGCGCAUGUUCAACGCUUUUACAACCCUAUGAAGUUACAAAAAGAAGCAUUCAAUACUUAUAAUUACAUUUUUUAGCUAUGAUCAUGAAAACACAAAUUUUAUAAUUGUUUUACUUAAUUCACCUAUGCACUUUAUUGUGGGACCACGUGUUAUCAUGAAUGAAAAGUUUUAUUGAGUAAUGCAAUUGCUAAAGGAAUAACACGUGAUGUGCAGUUAGCCAAUCAUAACAAAGUAUUAUAAUGAAACAUACAUCUAAUGUAAUUAUAUAUGUACAUUUUUACCCAUAUAUAAAUCAACAUAAUAAUUUUACAAUACAUCAUACAGAAAAAAACCAUUAUAUACAUAU
rnacentral:lncRNA from 1 species